AACGAACGCUGGCGGCACGCCUAACACAUGCAAGUCGAACGAAGGCUUCGGCCUUAGUGGCGCACGGGUGCGUAACGCGUGGGAAUCUGCCCUUUGCUUCGGAAUAACAGUUAGAAAUGACUGCUAAUACCGGAUGAUGUCGCAAGACCAAAGAUUUAUCGGCAAAGGAUGAGCCCGCGUAGGAUUAGCUAGUUGGUGGGGUAAAGGCCUACCAAGGCGACGAUCCUUAGCUGGUCUGAGAGGAUGAUCAGCCACACUGGGACUGAGACACGGCCCAGACUCCUACGGGAGGCAGCAGUGGGGAAUAUUGGACAAUGGGCGAAAGCCUGAUCCAGCAAUGCCGCGUGAGUGAUGAAGGCCUUAGGGUUGUAAAGCUCUUUUACCCGGGAUGAUAAUGACAGUACCGGGAGAAUAAGCUCCGGCUAACUCCGUG
rnacentral:rRNA from 1 species